rnacentral:rRNA from 1 species
AUUUUGAAGAGCUGCGGUAUUUUGACCGUACAAAGGUAGCAUAAUCAUUAGUUUUUUAAUUGAAGGCUGGAAUGAAUGGUUUGACGAAAUAAUAACUGUCUCGUGAUUAGGAAUUUGAAAUUUAUUUUUGAGUUAAAAAGCUUAAAUGUGGAAGAGGGACGAGAAGACCCUAUAGAUCUUUAUAAGUAUGUUUUUGUAUUAAUAAAGUUAAUAUUAAUUAGGAAUGUGAACUAUAAUGUUAAUAUAAAAAUUAUAUUUAUUUAGUUGGGGUGAUUUGGGAAUAGAAAAACUUCUUAAUAAUUUACUUUGAUGGAUGAGUAAAAGAUCCUUUAUUAAGGAAUGAAGAUAAAGUUACCUUAGGGAUAACAGCGUAAUUUUAUUUGAAAGUUCUUAUUAACAAUAAAGAUUGCGACCUC